GGAGAGAAAGCUGGAGGUGCACACAGCGCCUAUGGGCUGUGUUGGGGUUGGGGACCAAAUCGGACUGAGAGCGCUGAGUGGGCGAGGGGCACUUGCAUGCUCACCUGCUGUCAGUGUGGCUACAGAGAGGGCAGGUCUAAAGAACUCUUCUAGGGAAAAUAUGCCGUCAUGGCAGCUGUAGCUAAAGGUACUCAACAGGAACCGAAAAGGUAGCGGAUCUCUCUCCCAGAUGAACCGAAAGCAAGGGGGUAAUUCUAACCCUCGUUACUUCCUUCCACUUUCCUCUCGAGUGGCGUGGCUCACGUUGGAACAUCGUCCCCCGCGGGUCGCAGGUUGGAUUCUGGUCAGGACACAAGCCCAGGGUUGUGGGUUCGAUUCCCAUCGGGCUCGUGAGGGGGGCAAAGGAUCAUCUGUGUUCUCUUUCACAUCACACCAAUGUUUCUCUCUCCCUCUCCCUUCCUUUCCAAAACAACAACUACAACCCACUGAUGGAAAACGUGGGGUGCGUACAGUCUACCUGAGGAAGACCAAACAAUUCAUAGUCCUUAUUGUCAAAAUCACUGACUUGACUCUGCCCUGAAAUCCCAGGAUGGGAAAAUGAAUCUGCUUCCCAGAGAGGUAAGUGAAAAGGCAACUCGGUUCUCAAUAUCUGCUGGGAAUGCAGGAGAGGUGAACACAGAAUCCUGCCAUCUCCAUGAGAACAAGCCCAUUGGAGGAUGAAAGGCCCCAUAGGGCAGAGCUGAGUCAUCACUGCUGAGGCCAUCCUUGACCAGACAGCCCUCAGGAGACUGCAGAGGUACAAGCAAGCCCAAAGGAGAUCGGCCAGGCGUGGUCCAGAUCAGCAGACAUGCCCACCAACGGAAUUUAUUCACCGGAAAUAAUACAUGGUUACUAUGUUAAGUCACCACUUCAGUGAUCUAUUGCUGCAUUAACAACCACCCCAAGAUGAGUAGCCGAAACCACCACCAUUUACUAUUUUUUCAUAAUUCUGUGAGUCAGCCGAACUCAGCUGGGCAUUGGCCGGAGUCACUCACUUGGCACCUGAGCAGGAAGGUCUGAGAAGUCUUCAUUCACACGUCAGGCACCUCAGUCUGCCGCCACAUGACCUCUGCCUCUCCAGGUCACUAGGUUGGGCUUCCUUCCAGCACGUGGUCCUUUCUUCUGGGUGGACAGACUUCCUACCUGGAAGCUGGCUUCCAGGGAGGCACUGGGCACUGCCAGUCUUCUUAAGGACUGAGCUUGGGAGUUCUAGAAUACCCACUUCAUUCUAUUGGACAAAGCAGUCACAAGACCCACCAGACUUAGGCGGAGAGGAAAGAGACUCACACUUUUGGUUUGAGGGGAAGAGUGUAUGUAUAAAAAUAAAAGGGCCCUAUCUCACCUGCUAAGUUUUUUGGGGGGUGGUUAUACCUUUUUUAGCUAAAUUUUUCUAAGCUAUGGGACUUUGGGCUAGUUAUAAAACUUUCCUGGACCUUUCAAUGAAGUGAGGGAGGUUGAGUUUGCAUAUUUAACUUUUUCUUUAGGGACAUCUCAAGGGCAAACCAAAGUCCCAUAGGUAUCCAGAAAGGAGUUGCUAGAGGGAAUUUGUGCAGCAUUGGUCAACUAUGGGUGCUUCUAGUAGGUCAUCUGUAUCUGUUCUUCAACUAGACACAGUCCUCAAGAAUCCACAUGAAAGGCAUGCCUUGUGGCGGGUCCAAGCAGCUUGGCUGGUGGGAGAAGGAGCAGGGGCCAGGCAGCCCAGGCUCCAAAAGACUCAGGGCCCGCCUUGGCCCUCAGGCACCCAGCAAGCACCCCCCAGCAGCCACCCUCCCCGAGAGGAUGGCCAGCACCACACCACAGAGGGCACGUGAAGAGAUCCAUGGGUUGUCAGCUAUACCUGCUCCUGCAAAAGUGGAAAUGAAGAAAAAAAAAUUUUUUUAAAGGCAGCAGGAAAGGAUAAAUCUGCAGAUAAAAAAGUACAAACAAAGGGAAAACAGACUGAAGUGGCCGACCAAGAACUUAAAGAUCUACCUGCGGAAAAUGGAGAAACUAAAAAUGAGAAUCCAGCCUCGGAUGUAGCAGCAGAGAAAGAAGCCAAGUCUGAUUAGUAUCAUAUUAAUAAUAUUAGUUAUAAGACAUAUAAUACCAUGACUUAUCAGUGGUUCUUGUCUCCCUUCCUAUGCAAUCCAGAGAAAUAUUUUUAUCAACUAUUUUGUAGUGUAAAUACUUUUUUAAAAGAGGAAAUAAUUUGUUGAUUGUUUAUUUUAUUUAUUUAUUUAUUUAUUUAUUUAUUUAUUUAUUUUAUUUAUUUUUUUGUACAACCAGAAAAUAGUGGGAUGUUGAAUAUGGGAGGCUUUGUCUUAACAUUCCAUAAUUGGGGGUCAUUUCUAUAUCCUAUCAUACAAAGCAUACUAAAUGGCAAUAUGGCAUCCAUUGUGUAUUUCAUGUGUCUUGAACAUUUUAAAUUACUUCUGUUCCCAUGUUUUUGGAGGUAUUGUUUCCUAAAGAAAACCCCUCCUCAACCUUGGCUCUUCUUGUCAGAAUUUUGUGCAUCUGUGACAGCUCUGGUGAGGCAGUCCAGUUUCCCUGGUAACUUUGUUAAUGUGAAAGAUUGAACGUUUCAUCAUGUAGCAUAUAUGAUAUUACAUUGCAAAUUAGUGGGACUUUGAUGUUAUAGCAUAUCAACGUUUGAAGAUAUAGGCACUUGGUACUCCAUUAAGGAAAAUUAACCUCCACAUUUUAAGCUGAAAAUUCACUGGAAUAACUGUUUAGAAAAAAAUCACAACUAUGUAACCUUUAAGUUUUUGGUACAUAUGCUAAGAAUUAUGUACAAAUUGAAAUGUCUGUAUUUAUGCUCAAAGGAAUUGAUAAAAUGUCAAUUAUGAAAGAAAAAAAAAAAGGCAUGCAUUGCCUCCACAGAUGUGAAACAGAAGGAGAGGCUGCCUUCUCCACAGCCCCUGAAUGACCACCUUCCAUCACACUGUCUUCUCUUUCUGGAAACUUGAUUUCCAAGCAGACAUGAAAAGCCACUGCUCAGCUGCCUCCCCUGUAUACCUCUGUGAACCCCUAUAUAUACCUGAAAUGAGAUGCUCAUUUCAGAGGACUCUGUGUCCUCUGAUUUCAGUUUUGCUCUUUAGGUUAGCAAGGCUUGAAACCCUCAUCCUACUGCCUUCCUUCUUUUUCCCUGUACCAUCUUCCUUUCUGCUAGCUUUUCUUUUCUUUGCUGCAUCUUUUCUUUCUUAAUCCUUUA